UACGUAGGGUGCAAGCGUUGUCCGGAAUUAUUGGGCGUAAAGAGCUCGUAGGCGGCUUGUCGCGUCGGCUGUGAAAACCUGGGGCUCAACCCCGGGCCUGCAGACGAUACGGGCAAGCUAGAAUUCGGUAGGGGAGACUGGAAUUCCUGGUGUAGCGGUGAAAUGCGCAGAUAUCAGGAGGAACACCGGUGGCGAAGGCGGGUCUCUGGGCCGAUAUUGACGCUGAGGAGCGAAAGCGUGGGGAGCGAACAGG
rnacentral:rRNA from 1 species